GAAUAUUGGGCAAUGGGCGCAAGUCUGACCCAGCCAUGCCGCGUGCAGGAUGAAGGCCUUCUGGGUUGUAAACUGCUUUUAUCUGGGAAGAAAACACCUUUGCGAAGGGAACUGACGGUACCAGAUGAAUAAGCACCGGCUAACUCCGUGCCAGCAGCCGCGGUAAUACGGAGGGUGCAAGCGUUGUCCGGAUUUAUUGGGUUUAAAGGGUGCGUAGGCGGCCUUAUAAGUCAGUGGUGAAAGCCCAUCGCUCAACGAUGGAACUGCCAUUGAUACUGUAAGGCUUGAGUACAGACGAGGUAGGCGGAAUUGAUGGUGUAGCGGUGAAAUGCAUAGAUACCAUCAAGAACACCGGUUGCGUAGGCAGCUUACUAGGCUGUAACUGACGCUGAGGCACGAAAGCGUGGGGAGCGAACAGG
rnacentral:rRNA from 1 species